rnacentral:tRNA from 1 species
CGGUGGUUGCUUGAGCGGUUGAAAAGGGCGGUCUCGAAAACCGUUAACGUUGUAAAACGUUCAAGGGUUCAAAUCCCUUACCAUCGGCCA